rnacentral:rRNA from 1 species
GAUGAACGCUAGCUACAGGCUUAACACAUGCAAGUCGAGGGACCGGCGCACGGGUGAGUAACACGUAUCCACCCUGCCCUUUACUCGGGGAUAGCCUUUCGAAAGAAAGAUUAAUACCCGAUGUAACGAAUGGGGUUGCGUUCAAUUAGGUUGUUGGUAAGGUAACGGCUCACCAAGCCUUCGAUGGAUAGGGGUUCGGAGAGGAAGGUCCACCACAAUGGAACUGAGACACGGUCCAAACUCCUACGGGAGGCAGCGGUGAGGAAUAUAGGUCAAUGGGCGUUAGCCUGAACCGGCCAAGUAGCGUGAAGGAUGAAGGCUUAUGGGUCGUAAACUUCUUGUAUAUAAGAAUAUGUAUUAUAUGAAGAAGGAUCGGCUAACUCCGUGCCAGCAGCCGCGGUAAUUC